GCCCCGGUGGUGAAACACUGGUAGACACGCUGGCUUCAGGAGCCAGUGCCGCAAGGCGUGAGGGUUCAAGUCCCUCCUGGGGCACCA
rnacentral:tRNA from 1 species